rnacentral:rRNA from 1 species
UACAGAGGGGGCAAGCGUUAUUCGGAAUUAUUGGGCGUAAAGGGCGCGUAGGCGGCUUGGCAAGUGGAUGGUGAAAUCCCUCGGCUUAACCGAGGAACUGCCGUCCAAACUGCUUCGCUUGAGACCGGGAGAGGUGAGUGGAAUUCCUAGUGUAGCGGUGAAAUGCGUAGAUAUUGGGAGGAACACCAGUGGCGAAGGCGGCUCACUGGACCGGUACUGACGCUGAUGCGCGAAAGCGUGGGGAGCAAACGGG